rnacentral:lncRNA from 1 species
GAAAAGAGCCCUGGUUUUUCUUUUCGCCUAUAGCCCUCAAAAUGAUUGAUACGGCCCUGCAAAGAUAUGGUAGCAAAAUACAUAAUGAAAUACAAUCUUUCUAAUUAGGUUGGUACUGGUUUGUGAUAAGAUGGAAACGUUUGGACAAAAACAUGCAAUGUUGCCAUUGUACACAUGAGGCAAAUUUGAAAAUGCAUGGGGAGUUGUUUGGCCAUUUAAUGCACAUCAGAUCAACUCUCUCUUUCUUCUAGAUUCAAACUUAUAGCACACAUUUUUCUCUUUCUUCUCUAUUUCUCUCUUUCUUCUCUAUUCUUCUCAUCACAGGCGAUUUCUUUUCAAAUUCUAGGGUUUCUCUUACAAACCACACGCAUUACAUCCUCACUUUCCUGAAACCCUAAAUCCCUAAAUAAAGAUUCUCCUUCAGCUGUUCUUCGCACGAUUCAAGAUUCUUCACCUGUUUACUCGAUCUCAUGUUUGGUCAAUCUUUAGUGAUUAUUAGACGAUUCAAGAUUCUUCACCAAAUAAACUAUACUAUGCUCCAUUGGCUUCUCGAUAUUGUCUUGGUCCUCACGUACCUUCCGAGCACCACUGGAAGAACCCUCCAAAAAGGAACUAGGGUUAGAAUUAGUGUCGCCGCCACUGUCUCUACCGCAUCCGCUGAAGCAGAACCCUAGAGUUUGGUAGCAACUAGCAAAUGAAGAGUUUCAACAUAUUCUUUGUGUGCAUAACAAUUGUGAGAGAGAUUCUACUGGUAUUACUUCAUUAAAGAAAAGUGAAUGCUGCAUUGGCGAGAUGGAUUUUGUUACAUUGGUGGCGCUACUGAUUCUGUCAUGUUGGAUUGGCCAAUUAGUUGCUCUAAAAUCAGAUCUUGGCUAUGGCUAUGCGCUCUUGAUCCUGAGAUGUUCGAAUGCCUAAUUGCAUCACUUUUGCACCAGAUCUAGCUAAUUGUUUUCACAAUCUAUACUAUCUAUUAAGGGAGAUUAGAGGAUGACCUCGAUUUGCCUACGUGUCACGUUCUUAGCUAUUAAGGAAGAGAGGAAGGCACAAAGGAUGUGUCAAAUACAGUUCAGAUGAUACAGGUUUAAGCUAUGAUGGCGAGGUCUGGCGUGUUGUUGCAACAUGCCAUAAUCGUUGCCGGCUGCCAUUCGUGGCUGUUCUAGGUAGCGUUGGGUGUAAUCGAUGUUUGGUUGAUGAUAAUUAGAUCGAUGUCACCUAAGGGAUAUUCAGUCAAUGAUGUUGAUGAGAUGCUUCUCACCUGAGACUAAAACUAUGAUGAAGAAAACGUCUGCCCGAAUAUAUGCGAGAUUAAAAUGUCAAGAAGAAAGAGAGAGAUGGAUAUUUGAUUACUUCUCACAGGUACAUUUAAUGCGCAAAACAACUUGAACGUAUCUAUUCAGAUCGAUGAAGAUGAUUUUGUCAUCUGAGGUUACGAUGGUGAGAUCUGGCAUAUUAUUGCAACAUAUAAAGCAUUGUUGCCGGCUGCCGUUCGCGGCUGUGCUAGGUAGCGUUCGCUGUAAUCCAUGUUCGGCCGAUGAUUAUGCCAUCGCUGUCACAUAAGACAACGUUUUUUAAUAGCAUGCGAUAUUCAGUCAAUGAUGUUGAUGAGAUGGUUCUCACCUGAGACUAAAACUACGGUGUUUUCCAAGAAUUCUGUGUUUGACGGUGCUCCCAGAGUGGUGAUAUAUCUAUCUAUCUAUCUAUUGCUAUCUAUUAAAGGAGCUUAAAUGGUGACGUAAUUUUGCCUACGUGUCAUUAUAUUAGGAGGAAAAAUUUGAAAAUGCAUGGGGAGUUGUUUGGCCAUUUAAUGCACAUCAGAAGCGAUUUCGAUUCAAACUCUAGGGUUUCCUUUACAAAGCUUCCACAGAGGGUUUUGGUAGUAAGCCAGGGUUCCAGGCACUUUAUGGUAACUUAGAUGCGUUUCCGAUGAAGGAAAUGUUGGCCUGAAUAUACGCGAGGUCUGACAUUUUGCAAUCAUUUGUAUAGUUUAGUAAAUCAUUUAGUGUUGACUGUGAUGCUGAAUAUAAAUAUAUGCAAAGUGCAUUUGACAAAAGUCCUUUCAAAAUGAGGCUAUGAUGAUUUUGUAGAUCUGAGUAAAAAUUGGAUGAAUAUAGCAUUAUGGUAUGACAAGGUUGUAGGAUGGCAGUUGUUCAUGCAACCUCUCUUGCAGCUAUGGUGUUAUCAUCUUUAUUCACAAUAUGAGCCUUGCAUUCUGAAAUUGCAAAUGUUUUGCAACUUCACUAUCAAUGACCUUCGCUGAUGAUGUGUUGUUGAUUAAGGUUUUGAAAAGUGAUCGUGUAUAAUUGUUGUUACAUCUAUACAAGAAAAUGGAGUUUGGUUGGUCUGAGAUGCCUAUUUAGCUGUAUGUGAUGAUGCCGGUGUUCAUGUUGCCAGUUUACUGUGAAUUUGGUUGAAUCAUCGUUGCCAUCGAUACAGAGUGACUGUGAAGAUAUUAAGGUUGAAGCAACUGUCUCCUACAGAUCAAGUGGUUAUUCUCAAUUCUCGAUUGUUGUUCAAUCAGAAAGAUAAGUGUUUGAUUUGUUUUUUAAUUAUUUUGGUUGGCUGAUACACGAGAAUCAUCCAUAGAACUCACCAUCAGAACCAUCGGCCAUGUCGAAAACGAUGAUCAUGAAGCUAACAGCAACAGCUUACAUAAACAAUCACUGGUUAAUUCAACACACAGACCAAACAACAAUUCUUCAGGAAAAACCGUUGAUGUUGAGAUUCUUGAAUCAGUCAAAAUCUGAAUUAAGGAUCACUUAUGUUUCAGACUAUACAAAGAUUGCCUUUUGCUUAUCACAAGGUCUCAAUGCACCUAAUGACAACAACCAACAUUGAGCCAUCACAUUCUUUCCGUUUACAUCUCAGGUAGGUUGGUUAUUGAGAUCAAGAAAUUCAGCGCCACUUGCAGAUAUGGUUUCAAGGUCAAUAUUUGGCUUCAAACAAAGACAGAGGACUUUUGUUUCUGAAUAUUUUGUAGCUUCACUUAUGACUUAUGCCUGAUGUUGUUGUCAAAUUCAUAAUAGAAUGUGAAUUCAUUAAAUAAUUUCACAUCAUAUUUUACAUAUAUAU